rnacentral:rRNA from 1 species
GAAUCAACGCUGGCGGCGUGCCUAACACAUGCAAGUCGAACGCGAAAGGGGGCUUCGGCCCUGAGUAGAGUGGCGUCCGGGUGAGUAACGCGUGGGUAAUCUACCCUCGGGUGGGGAAUAACCAAUCGAAAGAUUGGCUAAGUACCGCAUAAUGCAGCGGCUCGACAUCGAGACAGUUGUUAAAGCAGCAAUGCGCCAGAGGAGGA